UUCAUUUUAAUGCUAUUGCAAAUGGAAUGUUAUUAAAUUUUCUUUUUCUGGUUGCUCAUUAUUAGGGUAUAGAAACGACUGAUUUUUGCAUGUUGAUUUUGUAUCCUGCCACUUUGCUGAGUUCAUUUAUUAGUUCUAACGGGUUUUUUUUUUUUGAUGGAAUCUUUAGCGUUUUCUAUAUGCAAACAGAUGGCUUUACUUCUUCCUUUCCAACUUCGAUGGCUUUGCGUGUGAGCACGUGUGAAUGAUGUGUGUGGUGUGUGAGCGAUGUGUGCAUGUGCGAGCACACGUGUGUGAGAGAGAGGGGUGAAGACAGCUGGCUGGUGUGGGGGCUUCCCUGGGGGUGCAGAGGGGUCCUGGCCACCGGCCCGAGCGGCACCACUCCUGGGAGCCCCUGUUCCCGGGACGAGGGACCGCGCUGGAACCUGACCAGUCAGAGUCACAGACGUGGUGUUUCCUUAGGCGUUCCUGGAUUUCGGCAGCCGGAUCCCAACCAAAAGAGUCUGUGGCAGUUUUGAACCGUUGUAAAGUUUCAUUGCUACUGAAAGAGCUCUCAGGUUGUGGUUUCUUUUUUUUAAAUCAUCAUAUUCAACUCCAAACAGUUUGUGGUUUCUUCGCAUCCUCGCAGAAGAACCGUGGUCUGGACGGAAUCUCAGGGGAGGUGCCUCCCUGGCUGGGCCAGUCUGCCCGGGACAGACCCUCUUUCCAGCGAAGCCUCUCCCUCCUCCCUGUUCACCCAUCCGGGCAGGGUGGUGUCGGGGCGAGCCCGGGGUGGAAGUCCUGAUUUGAGCCCAGAAUUUGGUCUCCUUCCCCAGAAGCUGCCAGCCAGGAGCAAACGGGCAUUCUUCCCUUUGCCCGUCACCCAGCCCCGGCGGGGGAGGAGCCCGAGAGCUCCAACGCACCACGAGGGACUCCCAGGCAGGAAGGGCCACACGCUGGGCUCUGUCCCCGUGCCACCACGGCCGGGCCGCUGCCAGCCUGGGUACUGCCGAGCUUCCUGGGCAUCCAGUGGGGCUGUGACCAGACACGCAGCAGCGUUGUUGCUAGAGUCGAAUGUCAACUGCUCGGUGCCCAGGAACUCAGUCCAGGUAUUUGCAUGCGUGACCACCUGUUUCCUUUAUGAGGAAAACAUGAGCUUAGACUGGUGUCUCCGACUCGAACACAUCACCGUGCGGACCAUUCUGGCCUCCUCCUGCUGCCUACAGGGUCUCUCUGAGUGGUCUGUUCAGGGACCGAGCUCUGCAGCCGCCACUGUGCUUCCCUGACCGCCCAGCCGGUGCACACGGAGCUCACGCCAGCCUCAGGACCCUGCAUGUGAGGGUCCCUUCCUGGGAGGAGGCUCACGCCCUCACUGCGUUCAGGUCUCCCUGGAUCCCUUCGGUGGCCUGGGGGCUGUGCACAUCCGGCGUUGCCCCACUUCCCGCUUCGUAGCCCUCACCAUUGCUCGCCGCCCUGAAUAUUCCUUAAAAAUUAGUUAAUUGACUCCUCCUCUCUGGAGGAUGCCGGGAAGCGGCUCGUUAUUCUGAGAAGCGACAGGGGACCUGAUCAAGGCUCAUCCUGCGAGUGCUGGCGAGUGCAGAGUUGCGGGCGGAAGGCUCGUCACAGACAGUCAGCUAUGGACUGAGGGAUGGAUUGAAUACGGCCGGUCUGCAGCUUCCAGUGCGAUGCAGAGGCGGCGGCGGUCCCUGCUGCAGCGAGGGGCUGUGAGGCCGCCGGGACCCUCGUGGGGAUGGGCCAGCCGACCCCGUCUGGAGCCCAGUCGGUCUGUCGCAAGGGAGGGACAGCCAGACCCUGCGCCCCUCCGUACGGGACGUCCCGGGGUGCACACAGCCCUGCUCUGCCACCCGGCACGAGCCCUGGUUUACCAGGGCACAGGGGACAGAGGGACACACCGAGCCACACCAGGAGGGUGUCCCCGCCACACAGGCCGGGGGGACAGGGCCGACACCUGCUGUCCUCAGCAAAGCCUCUGAAAGAAAAGAAGGAAUCAGAGUCUAUUGGUUAGAAAAAGACGUAGCUGCCAGACCAGCACGCAGACCUGGUCCGGACACAGCGAGUCGGGAACUUCGAUGGUAUCGAGGAAUUAUUGAUUUUGUUUUGGGGUAUGAUGACGGGAUUGUGAUUCCUUUUUUAAACAGCUGUCACUUAGAGACGCUCCUGCCCCGUUGGCGGUUGAACGGGGGAUUUGUGUCUCGGGGUCCCGGUGGAGCUGGGCGUGGGCGGCCGUGGGGCUGGGCGGGGCGGCCGUUGCUCAUCCGUCACCGUGCUGUGGCCGCAGGGGUGACCGGCACAGGGUGUUUGCUGCAUGCUUCUCUUGAUGUGAGCCUAUUUUGUAUGUUCCCUCCCGAAAAGUCAAAACGCAGCCGAGCAGUGGGCGGAUUAUUCAUCCCGUCAUCGGCCUCGGUCCCAGCAGGCGACAUUUUCCUUUGGGUCGCAGGGGCUCCUGCACCCCGGUGGGCGUCACCGAGAUGUGACUUAGACUCCAGAAGACGUCACACUUCACAACAGGCAGCGGCAGAAGCCGGGGCGGUUGAAGAAGAAGCAUAGAAACAAAUAAAAAAGUGAAGUCUAGCACACUGGUAGCCUUGGUAAAAAGAAAAAAAUAAAAAAUAAAAAAAAUUAAAAAAAAAAGUGAAGUCAACGCUGGUGCUCUAGAACCUGUUUCAGUGUGCCUGUCGCCGUGAUUUCGGUGAUAAUUGCCUUUGUGUGUGUCCCGUCUGCUGUUCUGCACAAGCAUCACUCAGCCCAAAUCCCUGAUCACGGCUUUAAUGGUUCGAGGGGAUUUAGUUACACCGGUAAGCCUUAAAUGGCUCAGCAAACUGCUUUCCACAGUUCCCUUUGUUCUUACACUGAGUUUAAUGGAUAACGCGUUGACGCAGGGCACGGCGUGUCAUUCCCCGCGCUUGUGCUGGCUCGCCGUCACUGUCAGCCCUGUUUGCUGAGGGUCCCUGUGUGGGCUGCGUGGGGGUCGGGGACAGCGCUGGCUCCCUGCGGGGGACGGCAGGCGGAGGGAGGCCAGGACUUGGGGGCUCCUGGCGUCCUUGUGGUAAAACGGGGGAUGGGUGUUUCCUGGGUCCCCGCCACCCCCAGGCGGUGGCCUUGGCGGUCCCCUCCCCACCUGUGCGGGACGACGUGCGGCCCUAUCGCUGGCGUCACAGCCAUCGGGAGCCCGCGGGACAGGGAGCCCGCGCAGGGCACCG